UAUUGUCUAAUUUCCACUGGUGCUG
rnacentral:piRNA from 1 species